UCCUGCUUAACGCAGGCAGUUUUCUUAGAGUUCCCAGCAUAACCUGUUGGCAACUAAGAAUGAGGGUUGCGCUCGUUGCGGGACUUAACCAAACAUCUCACGACACGAGCUGACGACGGCCAUGCAACACCUGUCACUUGGCUCAAUAAAGCACUCACUACUUUCAUAGUAAUUCCAAGGAUGUCAAACCCUGGUAAGGUUCUUCGUUUAUCAUCGAAUUAAAGAACACGAUCCACCGCUUGUGCUGAUCCCCGUCAAUUCCUUUAUGUUUUAGUCUUGCGACCGUACUCCACAGGCGGGAUGCUUAACGCGUUAGCUUCGCUACUGAAGGGGUCGAUACCUCCAACAGCUAGCAUCCAUAGUUUACGGCGUGGACUAC
rnacentral:misc_RNA from 1 species